GUUAUUAAAAACAUGGCUUUUUGAUAAUAAUUUAAGGUCUAACCUGCCCAAUGAUUUAAAUAUUAAAUGGCCGCGGUAUUUUGACCGUGCAAAGGUAGCAUAAUCAUUAGUUUUUUAAUUGAAAGCUUGUAUGAAAGGUUUGAUGAAAAAAUAACUGUCUUUAUUUAAGUUUAUUAGAAAUUUAUUUUUAAGUUAAAAAGCUUAGAUGUCUAUUAAAGACGAGAAGACCCUAUAGAGUUUUAUAUUUUUAUAAAAUUAUUAUAUUUUAGGAUUUUUUAAUAAUUUUAAUAGAAUUAUUUGAUUGGGGUGAUUUAAAAAUUAAUUAAACUUUUUUAUAUAAAUUUACAUUAAUUUAUGGGUUUUUGAUCUUUGUAAAAGAUUAAUAGAUAAAAUUACCUUAGGGAUAACAGCGUAAUUUUUUUUAGAGUUCUUAUCGAAGAAAAAGGUUGCGACCUCGAUGUUGGAUUAAAAUUAAUUAUUGGUGUAGAAGCUAAUAAAUUAGGUCUGUUCGACCUUUAAAUUUUUACAUGAUCUGAGUUUAAACCGGUGUAAGCCAGGUCGGUUU
rnacentral:rRNA from 1 species